rnacentral:rRNA from 1 species
ACGUGAAAGCCCCCUUCGGGGGGCAAGUAGAGUGGCGCACGGGAGAGUAACACGUAGGUAAUCUACCUUCGGAUGGGGAACAACAACCGGAAACGGUUGCUAAUACCGCAUAAUGCAGCGGCACCUAAUGGUGACAGUUGUUAAAGCGGGGGAUCGAAAGACCUCGCGUCUGAAGAGGAGCCUGCGGCGGAUUAGCUAGUUGGUAAGGUAAUGGCUUACCAAGGCGACGAUCCGUAGCCGGCCUGAGAGGGCGGUCGGCCACACUGACACUGACAUACGGGUCAGACUCCUACGGGAGGCAGCAGUCGGGAAUUUUGGGCAAUGGGCGAAAGCCUGACCCAGCAACGCCGCGUGAAGGAUGAAAUCCCUCGGGAUGUAAACUUCGCAAGAACGGGAAGAAUAAGUCGGUGCUAACACCACCUGCGAUGACGGUACCGUUUGUAAGCUCCGGCUAACUCCGUGCCAGCAGCCGCGGUAAUACGGGGGGAGCAAGCGUUGUUCGGAUUUACUGGGCGUAAAGGGCGCGUAGGCGGCCACCGCAAGUCAAUUGUGAAAUCUCCGGGCUUAACUCGGAAAGGUCAACUGAUACUGCGGGGCUAGAGUGCAGAAGGGGCAACUGGAAUUCUCGGUGUAGCGGUGAAAUGCGUAGAUAUCGAGAGGAACACCUGCGGCGAAGGCGGGUUGCUGGGCUGACACUGACGCUGAGGCGCGAAAGCUAGGGGAGCGAACGGGAUUAGAUACCCCGGUAGUCCUAGCCUUAAACGAUGAAUGCUUGGUGUCUGGGGUUUUAAAGUCCCCGUGUGCCGUC